UAGAAACUAGGGCCUGUAGGACCUGCCUUGUUGAUAGUGCUGUUAAGAAGGUAGAAACUAGGGCCUGUAGGACCUGCCUUGUUGAUAGUGUUGUUCAGAAGGUAGAAACUAGGGCCUGUAGGACCUGCCUUGUUGAUAGUGUUGUUAAGAAGGUAGAAACUAGGGCCUGUAGGACCUGCCUUGUUGAGUGAUGUUAAGAAGGCAUCGCAGCGCUUUAUUAUGGACAGACUUCACCAUCUUGGCGACAGGGUAGCCUAGCGGUUAGAGCGUUGGGCCAGUAACCGAAAGGUUGCUAGAUUGAAUCCCCGAACUGACAAGGUAAAAAUCUGCCGUUCUGCCCCUGAACAAGGCAGUUAACCCACUGUUCCUAGGCCGUCAUUGUAAAUAAGAAUUUGUUCUUAACUGACUUGCCUAGUUAAAUAAAGGUUAAAUAAAAA
rnacentral:lncRNA from 1 species